rnacentral:rRNA from 1 species
UACGUAGGGGGCGAGCGUUAAUCGGAUUUACUGGGCGUAAAGCGCGCGCAGGCGGUCUUGCAAGCCGGGUGUGAAAUCCCCGGGCUUAACCUGGGAAGGGCAUUUGGGACUGCAAGGCUGGAGUGCGGGAGAGGGGACUGGAAUUCCUGGUGUAGCAGUGAAAUGCGUAGAUAUCAGGAGGAACACCGAUGGCGAAGGCAGGCCUCUGGGCUGACACUGACGCUCAUGCGCGAAAGCGUGGGGAGCAAACAGG